CCACCCCUCUAGUUUUAGGAAGAGACAACACGUAGUGCACAUAAUCCCUCCCUUCGCAGCUCAUUUCUUACACUCGUUGCUACCCAGUUUGCGAAAAUGAUGAAGCCAACGUCCCCCAACUUCAUGGCGCAGGGCAUCUGGGCCGGUUUCCGCUACUAUAUCGGCCACUUCUUCUACCCAAACAUGUACCGAGAGUUCCUCUCCGUGCAGAAUGCGCACAAAGUCGAACGCGCACUCCGUUUGCAGAAGGCCAUCAAGGCUAACAAGAUCGACUACCGCGCCCUUCUCGCCCUCCCUGUCACGGACCACGCCCAUCCUUACAAGAUGGAGUACCCGUGGGAGAAGGUCAUGCAGAGCGACGCGCGCGACUUAGGCUUCUACGGCAAGUGGUAUGCCAGCAAAAUGAUGUGCUUCUACGAGGGCCUUCAGUUCCACAAGUGGGGCUGCCUUCAGGACGACCUUAUCAACGCCCACGGCUGGUGGAACCGUGCUGCCCGCACGCGUGCGCCGAAGGACAAGGUUGUGCACGGCGACCGUCGUGUGAUGCGUGCCCGUGUCCUCAAGGACAAGUACAUCUACGAGCCAAAGGAUCGGUGGGUGCACCCUGUCGACAACGUCGCAUACUUCGGUCCCUAUGUCAUGAUGGUGGCUGAUGAAUGGGAGGAGAAGUGGGGGUUUUUUGCCGGCCAGGAGGUGGAAUACUAGACGUGCACGUGUGCGCUUUGAGCCUCAUGGGCCGUACCGUCAGAGAAAGGAGGGCGCGUGUGUAGGAGAGCGGUAGCCGUGCCUGUAUUGAUGUAUGUGCCCCACUCUCUUUCUUUAUCCUCUCUACCUUCCCGGCGUGUUUUGUUUCUUUUUUACCAUAGGAAUUUAAGUGCACUUGAUGGCGCGUGUACGCUCUUUGAGUAAGAAAUGGUAGCCGGCGAGGUAAGAAAGGUUCUUCACCGAAAGGCACAGUCGCAUGCAUUUCGCAUUUGUUUAAUGUGGCACGCGGGCUUUUCAUUACGCACACUCAAGCGUAUGCGCUGCUGUCGAAGUAGGGGAGACUCCCAUCAUAUCUGUCUUUCUCCUUUUCCCUCAACCUCUCCACCGCUUUCUCGUGCUCGCUCUCUGUCAUGUGGCGUGAUUAGUAGUGCAAAAUCCAUCGAGCCAAGAGGAAUAC
rnacentral:misc_RNA from 1 species